rnacentral:rRNA from 1 species
GAUGAACGCUGGCGGCGUGCCUAAUACAUGCAAGUCGAGCGAACAGAUGAGGAGCUUGCUCCUCUGACGUUAGCGGCGGACGGGUGAGUAACACGUGGAUAACCUACCUAUAAGACUGGGAUAACUUCGGGACACCGGCGCUAAUACCGGAUAAUAUAUUGAACCGCAUGGUUCAAUAGUGAAAGACGGUUUUGCUGUCACUUAUAGAUGGAUCCGCGCCGCAUUAGCUAGUUGGUAAGGUAACGGCUUACCAAGGCAACGAUGCGUAGACGACCUGAGAGGGUGAUCGGCGACACUGGAACGGAGACACGGACCAGAGGCCUACGGGAGGCAGCAGUAGGGAAUCGUCCGCAAUGGGCGAAAGCCUGACGGAGCAACGCCGAGUGAGUGAUGAAGGUGUUCGGAUCGUAAAACUCGGUUAUUAGGGAAGAACAAAUGUGUAAGUAAAUAUGCACGUCUUGACGGUACCUAAUCAGAAAGCCACGGCUAACUACGUG